UUUCCGUAUAGAAUGCAACGCACUCGAUGCCAUCGAAAAGCAUCAGCAUUAACACCAGUAACCCAGUUAUGUACAUUGGGAAAUCCCAGUUAAAGUCACCGCCUAAUCGAGUUAGUCGCGGCUGGCGAAUGAGAGAUUACUCGGAGCGGAGCUCGCUUUUAUCUGGCCUUUUAUAUAGGCGAUGUGAAUGAGCGGGUCGCUCAUCCCAGCGACUCGAGUGCAAUUGAUGAAUUGAGUGUGAUGUGGUGAUGCUUGUCGUCGUAGCCUGGUGGCAGUCGUAGUUGCUUUUGUUGGGGCGCUGUAUUAAGCGGUUCUGUCUGAAACUGUAGCGACUUCACCUUGCCACCCAACGACGAACGGGCGAACCGAAAGUGAAAACCUGCCGCAAGGGAUACAAACGAAUUGAAGAAGGGUCAAAACGAGGCUGUGAGGCCAUUUGUACGCAGCCCUG